UGCGCAGGCGGUUAUGUAAGACAGGCGUGAAAUCCCCGGGCUCAACCUGGGAAUUGCGCUUGUGACUGCAUAGCUAGAGUAUGUCAGAGGGGGUAGAAUUCCACGUGUAGCAGUGAAAUGCGUAGAGAUGUGGAGGAAUACCAAUGGCGAAGGCAGCCCCCUGGGAUAAUACUGACGCUCAUGCACGAAAGCGUGGGAGCAAACA
rnacentral:rRNA from 1 species